rnacentral:rRNA from 1 species
GGCGUAGGCGGCCAGGUUAGUGAGACGUGAAAUCCUUCGGCUCAACCGAAGACCUGCGUUUCAAACUGCCUGGCUUGAGUCCGGGAGGGGAGACGGGAAUUCCUGGUGUAGCGGUGAAAUGCGCAGAUAUCAGGAAGAACACCGGCGGCGAAGGCGCGUCUCUGGACCGGUACUGACGCUGAGGCCCGAAAGCGUGGGGAGCAAACA